UACGGGGAGGCAGCAGUGGGGAAUAUUGCACAAUGGGCGCAAGCCUGAUGCAGCCAUGCCGCGUGUAUGAAAAAGGCCUUCGGGUUGUAAAGUACUUUCAGUCGUGAGGAAGGUGUUAAGGUUAAUAACCUUAGCAAUUGACGUUAGCGACAGAAGAAGCACCGGCUAACUCCGUGCCAGCAGCCGCGGUAAUACGGAGGGUGCGAGCGUUAAUCGGAAUUACUGGGCGUAAAGGGCACGCAGGCGGUUAAUUAAGUUGGAUGUGAAAUCCCCGGGCUUAACCUGGGAAUGGCAUUCAAGACUGGUUAGCUAGAGUCUUGUAGAGGGGGUAGAAUUCCAUGUGUAGCGGUGAAAUGCGUAGAGAUGUGGAGGAAUACCGGUGGCGAAGGCGGCCCCUGGACAAAGACUGACGCUCAUGUGCGAAAGCGUGGGGAGCAAACAGGGAUUAGAUACC
rnacentral:rRNA from 1 species